GACGAACGCUGGCGGCGUGCUUAACACAUGCAAGUCGAACGGAAAGGCCCUGCUUUUGUGGGGUGCUCGAGUGGCGAACGGGUGAGUAACACGUGAGUAACCUGCCCUUGACUUUGGGAUAACUUCAGGAAACUGGGGCUAAUACCGGAUAGGAGCUCCUGCUGCAUGGUGGGGGUUGGAAAGUUUCGGCGGUUGGGGAUGGACUCGCGGCUUAUCAGCUUGUUGGUGGGGUAGUGGCUUACCAAGGCUUUGACGGGUAGCCGGCCUGAGAGGGUGACCGGCCACAUUGGGACUGAGAUACGGCCCAGACUCCUACGGGAGGCAGCAGUGGGGAAUAUUGCACAAUGGGCGGAAGCCUGAUGCAGCAACGCCGCGUGCGGGAUGACGGCCUUCGGGUUGUAAACCGCUUUCGCCUGUGACGAAGCGUGAGUGACGGUAAUGGGUAAAGAAGCACCGGCUAACUACGUGCCAGCAGCCGCGGUGAUACGUAGGGUACGAGCGUUGUCCGGAUUUAUUGGGCGUAAAGGGCUCGUAGGUGGUUGAUCGCGUCGGAAGUGUAAUCUUGGGGCUUAACCCUGAGCGUGCUUUCGAUACGGGUUGACUUGAGGAAGGUAGGGGAGAAUGGAAUUCCUGGUGGAGCGGUGGAAUGCGCAGAUAUCAGGAGGAACACCAGUGGCGAAGGCGGUUCUCUGGGCCUUUCCUGACGCUGAGGAGCGAAAGCGUGGGGAGCGAACAGGCUUAGAUACCCUGGUAGUCCACGCUGUAAACGGUGGGUACUAGGUGUGGGGUCCAUUCCACGGGUUCCGUGCCGUAGCUAACGCUUUAAGUACCCCGCCUGGGGAGUACGGCCGCAAGGCUAAAACUCAAAGGAAUUGACGGGGCCCCGCACAAGCGGCGGAGCAUGCGGAUUAAUUCGAUGCAACGCGUAGAACCUUACCUGGGUUUGACAUGGAUCGGGAGUGCUCAGAGAUGGGUGUGCCUCUUUUGGGGUCGGUUCACAGGUGGUGCAUGGCUGUCGUCAGCUCGUGUCGUGAGAUGUUGGGUUAAGUCCCGCAACGAGCGCAACCCUUGUUCACUGUUGCCAGCACGUUAUGGUGGGGACUCAGUGGAGACCGCCGGGGUCAACUCGGAGGAAGGUGGGGAUGACGUCAAGUCAUCAUGCCCCUUAUGUCCAGGGCUUCACGCAUGCUACAAUGGCUGGUACAGAGAGUGGCGAGCCUGUGAGGGUGAGUGAAUCUCGGAAAGCCGGUCUCAGUUCGGAUUGGGGUCUGCAACUCGACCUCAUGAAGUCGGAGUCGCUAGUAAUCGCAGAUCAGCAACGCUGCGGUGAAUACGUUCCCGGG
rnacentral:rRNA from 1 species